rnacentral:rRNA from 1 species
AUACGAAGGGAGCGAGCGUUGUUCGGAAUCACUGGGCGUAAAGCGUGCGUAGGCGGUUUUGUAAGACAGAAGUGAAAUCCUGGAGCUUAACUCCAGAAUCGCUUUUGUGACUGCAAAGCUUGAAUCCAGGAGAGGUUGGGGGAGUUCCGAGUGUAGAGGUGAAAUUCGCAGAUAUUCGGAGGAACACCAGUGGCGUAGGCGCCCAACUGGACUGGUAUUGACGCUGAGGCACGAAAGCGUGGGGAUC